rnacentral:rRNA from 1 species
GACGAACCGUACGAACGUUAUUCGGAAUUACUGGGCUUAAAGGGCGCGUAGGCGGCCCCUGUUUGUCGCGUGUGAAAGCCCCCGGGCUCAACCCCAGGAAGUGCACUCGAAACUGCGAGGCUAGAGUACUGGAGAGGUUGGUGGAAUUCUCCGGUGUAGAGGGUGAAAUUCGUAGAUAUCGAGAGGAACACCCGGGUGGGCCGAAAGGGCGGGGUCUCUGGG